rnacentral:rRNA from 2 species
GUAAGCUACUAAGAGCGAAUGGUGGAUGCCUUGACUGGUAAAGGCGAUGAAGGACGUACUAGACUGCGAUAAGCUACGGGGAGCUGUCAAGAAGCUUUGAUCCGUAGAUUUCCGAAUGGGGCAACCCAAUGUAUAGAGAUAUACAUUACCUAUAUAGGAGCGAACGAGGGGAAUUGAAACAUCUUAGUACCCUCAGGAAAAGAAAUCAAUAGAGAUUGCGUCAGUAGCGGCGAGCGAAAGCGCAAGAGGGCAAACCCAGUGCUUGCACUGGGGGUUGUAGGACUGCAAUGUGCAAGAGCUGAGUUUAGCAGAACAUUCUGGAAAGUAUAGCCAUAGAGGGUGAUAGUCCCGUAUGCGAAAAACAAAGCUUAGCUAGCAGUAUCCUGAGUAGGGCGGGACACGAGGAAUCCUGUCUGAAUCCGGGUCGACCACGAUCCAACCCUAAAUACUAAUACCAGAUCGAUAGUGCACAAGUACCGUGAGGGAAAGGUGAAAAGAACUGAGGUGAUCAGAGUGAAAUAGAACCUGAAACCAUUUGCUUACAAUCAUUCAGAGCACUAUGUAGCAAUACAGUGUGAUGGACUGCCUUUUGCAUAAUGAGCCUGCGAGUUGUGGUGUCUGGCAAGGUUAAGCAAACGCGAAGCCGUAGCGAAAGCGAGUCUGAAUAGGGCGCUUAGUCAGAUGCUGCAGACCCGAAACGAAGUGAUCUAUCCAUGAGCAAGUUGAAGCUAGUGUAAGAACUAGUGGAGGACUGAACCCAUAGGCGUUGAAAAGCCCCGGGAUGACUUGUGGAUAGGGGUGAAAGGCCAAUCAAACUUCGUGAUAGCUGGUUCUCUCCGAAAUAUAUUUAGGUAUAGCGUUGUGUCGUAAUAUAAGGGGGUAGAGCACUGAAUGGGCUAGGGCAUACACCAAUGUACCAAACCCUAUCAAACUCCGAAUACCUUAUAUGUAAUCACAGCAGUCAGGCGGCGAGUGAUAAAAUCCGUCGUCGAGAGGGAAACAACCCAGACUACCAGCUAAGGUCCCUAAAUCUUACUUAAGUGGAAAACGAUGUGAAGUUACUUAAACAACCAGGAGGUUGGCUUAGAAGCAGCCAUCCUUUAAAGAAAGCGUAAUAGCUCACUGGUCUAGUGAUUUUGCGCGGAAAAUAUAACGGGGCUAAAGUAAGUACCGAAGCUGUAGACUUGCACACAACUUAGAUUAUUUAAGUUUAGAAUAUGAGAAACUAAGUUAUGUUUAGUUAUAUUUUUACUGAUUUUUAUAGAGUAAAGAUAGAAAUAAAACUUAGUAAAAUCAGUAAAAAUAUUCUUAGGCUAAAGUUAAGUAGUUUAAGUUGUGUGCAAGUGGUAGGAGAGCGUUCUAUUUGCGUCGAAGGUAUACCGGUAAGGAGUGCUGGAGCGAAUAGAAGUGAGCAUGCAGGCAUGAGUAGCGAUAAUUAAUGUGAGAAUCAUUAACGCCGUAAACCCAAGGUUUCCUACGCGAUGCUCGUCAUCGUAGGGUUAGUCGGGUCCUAAGUCGAGUCCGAAAGGGGUAGACGAUGGCAAAUUGGUUAAUAUUCCAAUACCAACAUUAGUGUGCGAUGGAAGGACGCUUAGGGCUAAGGGGGCUAGCGGAUGGAAGUGCUAGUCUAAGGUCGUAGGAGGUUAUACAGGCAAAUCCGUAUAACAAUACUCCGAGAACUGAAAGGCUUUUUGAAGUCUUCGGAUGGAUAGAAGAACCCCUGAUGCCGUCGAGCCAAGAAAAGUUUCUAAGUUUAGCUAAUGUUGCCCGUACCGUAAACCGACACAGGUGGGUGGGAUGAGUAUUCUAAGGCGCGUGGAAGAACUCUCUUUAAGGAACUCUGCAAAAUAGCACCGUAUCUUCGGUAUAAGGUGUGGUUAGCUUCGUACUAGGAUUUACUCCGAAAGCGAAGAAACUUACAACAAAGAGUCCCUCCCGACUGUUUACCAAAAACACAGCACUCUGCUAACUCGUAAGAGGAUGUAUAGGGUGUGACGCCUGCCCGGUGCUCGAAGGUUAAUUGAUGGGGUUAGCAUUAGCGAAGCUCUUGAUCGAAGCCCGAGUAAACGGCGGCCGUAACUAUAACGGUCCUAAGGUAGCGAAAUUCCUUGUCGGUUAAAUACCGACCUGCAUGAAUGGCGUAACGAGAUGGGAGCUGUCUCAAAGAGGGAUCCAGUGAAAUUGUAGUGGAGGUGAAAAUUCCUCCUACCCGCGGCAAGACGGAAAGACCCCGUGGACCUUUACUACAGCUUGACACUGCUACUUGGAUAAGAAUGUGCAGGAUAGGUGGGAGGCUUUGAGUAUAUGACGCCAGUUGUAUAUGAGCCAUUGUUGAGAUACCACUCUUUCUUAUUUGGGUAGCUAACCAGCUUGAGUUAUCCUCAAGUGGGACAAUGUCUGGUGGGUAGUUUGACUGGGGCGGUCGCCUCCCAAAUAAUAACGGAGGCUUACAAAGGUUGGCUCAGAACGGUUGGAAAUCGUUCGUAGAGUAUAAAGGUAUAAGCCAGCUUAACUGCAAGACAUACAAGUCAAGCAGAGACGAAAGUCGGUCUUAGUAGUAUAUGACGCCAGUUGUAUAUGAGCCAUUGUUGAGAUACCACUCUUUCUUAUUUGGGUAGCUAACCAGCUUGAGUUAUCCUCAAGUGGGACAAUGUCUGGUGGGUAGUUUGACUGGGGCGGUCGCCUCCCAAAUAAUAACGGAGGCUUACAAAGGUUGGCUCAGAACGGUUGGAAAUCGUUCGUAGAGUAUAAAGGUAUAAGCCAGCUUAACUGCAAGACAUACAAGUCAAGCAGAGACGAAAGUCGGUCUUAGUGAUCCGGUGGUUCUGUGUGGAAGGGCCAUCGCUCAAAGGAUAAAAGGUACCCCGGGGAUAACAGGCUGAUCUCCCCCAAGAGCUCACAUCGACGGGGAGGUUUGGCACCUCGAUGUCGGCUCAUCGCAUCCUGGGGCUGGAGCAGGUCCCAAGGGUAUGGCUGUUCGCCAUUUAAAGCGGUACGCGAGCUGGGUUCAGAACGUCGUGAGACAGUUCGGUCCCUAUCUGCCGUGGGCGUAAGAAGAUUGAAGAGAUUUGACCCUAGUACGAGAGGACCGGGUUGAACAAACCACUGGUGUAGCUGUUGUUCUGCCAAGAGCAUCGCAGCGUAGCUAAGUUUGGAAAGGAUAAACGCUGAAAGCAUCUAAGCGUGAAGCCAACUCUAAGAUGAAUCUUCUCUAAGCUCUCUAGAAGACUACUAGUUUGAUAGGCUGGGUGUGUAAUGGAUGAAAGUCCUUUAGCUGACCAGUACUAAUAGAGCGUUUGGCUUAUCUUU